AUUGAACGCUGGCGGCAGGCCUAACACAUGCAAGUCGAACGGUAACAGGAAACAGCUUGCUGUUUCGCUGACGAGUGGCGGACGGGUGAGUAAUGUCUGGGAAACUGCCUGAUGGAGGGGGAUUACUACUGGAAACGGUAGCUAAUACCGCAUAACGUCGCAAGACCAAAGAGGGGGACCUUCGGGCCUCUUGCCAUCGGAUGUGCCCAGAUGGGAUUAGCUAGUAGGUGGGGUAACGGCUCACCUAGGCGACGAUCCCUAGCUGGUCUGAGAGGAUGACCAGCCACACUGGAAAUGAGACACGGUCCAGACUCCUACGGGAGGCAGCAGUGGGGAGUAUUGCACAAUGGGCGCAAGCCUGAUGCAGCCAUGCCGCGUGUAUGAAGAAGGCCUUCGGGUUGUAAAGUACUUUCAGCGGGGAGGAAGGGAGUAAAGUUAAUACCUUUGCUCAUUGACGUUACCCGCAGAAGAAGCACCGGCUAACUCCGUGCCAGCAGCCGCAGUAA
rnacentral:rRNA from 1 species